AACUCACCUGUGGCCUAAUGGAGGAUGCUCCUCCUUCGGGAGGGGGGACCUAUGUCUUCAUACGCCUGGUCGUGUAAAAGUCUUAAAAUGUUUACUAUCAAAAGUCGCGACUUCUAGGAGACGCGAAUCUCUGAGAUAAAAGUUAAUUACAACUUUCAGCAAUGGAUCUCUUGGCUCUCGCAUCGAUGAGGAACGCAGCGAAAAGCGAUAUGUAAUGUGAAUUGCAGAUCUACAGUGAGGCAUCGAAUCUUUGAACGCACCUUGCGCUCCUCGGUGUUCCGAGGAGCAUGCCUGUUUGAGUGUCAGUAAAUUCUCAACCCCUCUCGAUUUUUUUCGAGGGGGAGUUUGGAUGGUGGGGGCUGCCGGAGACUAGGACUCUUCCUUGACUCUGGCUCUCCUUAAAUGCAUUGGCUUGCGGUCGACGUUCUACUUUUCGCGACAAAGCUUUCGGCGGGAAAAUGAUCACCGUUCCUGAAACGCAUGAACGAAGGUUCCGUGCCUCUAAUACCGUCGACGCGUUACUAUCUCUUCGGAGAGAAAGCACGUCUUCCUUCAUUGACUUUUGAGCGCAAAUGGGGGAGGACUACCCGCUGAGCUGGAGCAUAUC
rnacentral:rRNA from 1 species